rnacentral:rRNA from 1 species
UUCCGGUUGAUCCUGCCGGAGGCUACCGCUAUUGGAGUUCGAUUAAGCCAUGCGAGUCGCGAGAAAUUAGAUUCUCGGCGUACCGCUCAGUAACACGUGGGUAACCUGCCCUAUGCUGGAUAAUAACCUCGGGAAACUGAGAAUAAUGAUCCAUAGUUCACUACGCCUGGAACGGUGAGUGGAUGAAAGCUCCGGCGGCAUAGGAUGGGCCUGCGGCGUAUCAGGUUGUAGGGGGUGUAACGUACCCUCUAGCCCUCUACGCGUACGGGUGUUGGGAGACAUAGCCCGGAGAUGGAUUCUGAGACACGAAUCCAGACCCUACGGGGUGCAGCAGGCGCGAAAACUUGGCAAUGCGAGAAAUCGUGACCAGGGAACUCCAAGUGCAUCGGGUAAGACCGGUGCUUUUCUUGACUCUAAAUAGGUCUUGGAAUAAGGGGUGGGUAAGGACGGUGCCAGCCGCCGCGGUAAUACCGGCGCCUCAAGUGGUAGUCGCUUUUAUUGGGCCUAAAACGUCCGUAGCCGGUCUGAUACAUUCGUGGGUAAAUCAACCAGCUUAACUGGUUGAAUUCUGCGAGGACGGUCAGACUUGGGACCGGGAGAGGUGUGGGGUACGCUCAGGGUAGGGGUAAAAUCCUGUCAUCCUGAGCGGACCACCUGUUGCGAAGGCGCCACACUAGAACGGAUCCGACGGUCAGGGACGAAGCCUAGGGGCACGAACCGGAUUAGAUACCCGGGUAGUCCUAGGUGUAAACGCUGUGGACUUG